rnacentral:rRNA from 1 species
UUGACCUCGAAUCAGGUAGGAAUACCCGCUGAACUUAAGCAUAUCAAUAAGCGGAGGAAAAGAAACCAACCGGGAUUACCUCAGUAACGGCGAGUGAAGCGGUAACAGCUCAAAUUUGAAAUCUGGCUCCUUCGGAGUCCGAGUUGUAAUUUGUAGAAGAUGCUUUGGGUUGUGGGCUCGGCCUAAGUUCCUUGGAACAGGACGUCAUAGAGGGUGAGAAUCCCGUAUGUGGCCAUGGCCCGCGCCUAUGUAAAGCUCUUUCGACGAGUCGAGUUGUUUGGGAAUGCAGCUCAAAAUGGGUGGUAAAUUUCAUCUAAAGCUAAAUAUGGGCCAGAGACCGAUAGCGCACAAGUAGAGUGAUCGAAAGAUGAAAAGCACUUUGGAAAGAGAGUUAAACAGUACGUGAAAUUGUUGAAAGGGAAGCGCUUGCAACCAGACUUGGGCGCUGCCGAUCACCCCGAGUUCUCUCGGGUGCACUCGACAGCGCACAGGCCAGCAUCGGUUCGGGUGGCUGGAUAAAGGCCGUAGGAAUGUAGCUCUCUUCGGGGAGUGUUAUAGCCCACGGUGCCAUGCAGCCCAGCCGGACCGAGGACCGCGCCUUCGGGCUAGGAUGCUGGCGUAAUGGUUGUAAGCGACCCGUCUUGAAACACGGACCAAGGAGUCUAACAUCUAUGCGAGUGUUUGGGCGUUAAACCCAUACGCGGAAUGAAAGUGAACG